rnacentral:ribozyme from 1 species
UCCUCCUUGUUUUCCAUUUUUUUUCUCCUUUUCAUCGUCGUCGUUCUCCUCCUCCUCCUCGUCGUCGUCGUCCUCCCAAAUGGGAAAGAAGAAUCUGGACGAUGAUUUCAACAUGAGACUGAAAAGGAUAUUUUCUGAAAACCACCGUUUUUAAUUAGUGCACUACAGAAUGAGAAGAAGAAU